rnacentral:rRNA from 1 species
UACAGGGGAGGAUGCAGUGUUGUCGAAUUAUUGGGCGUAAAGAGCUUGUAGGCGGUUUGUCGCGUCUGCUGUGAAAUUUCGGGGCUCAACCCCGAACUUGCAGUGGGUACGGGCAGACUAGAGUGUGGUAGGGGAGACUGGAAUUCCUGGUGUAGCGGUGAAAUGCGCAGAUAUCAGGAGGAACACCGAUGGCGAAGGCAGGUCUCUGGGCCACUACUGACGCUGAGAAGCGAAAAGCAUGGGGGAGCGAACAGG